AUUGAACGCUGGCGGCAGGCUUAACACAUGCAAGUCGAGCGGGGUGAUGGUGCUUGCACUAUCACUUAGCGGCGGACGGGUGAGUAAUGCUUAGGAAUCUGCCUAUUAGUGGGGGACAACAUUCCGAAAGGAAUGCUAAUACCGCAUACGCCCUACGGGGGAAAGCAGGGGAUCUUCGGACCUUGCGCUAAUAGAUGAGCCUAAGUCGGAUUAGCUAGUUGGUGGGGUAAAGGCCUACCAAGGCGACGAUCUGUAGCGGGUCUGAGAGGAUGAUCCGCCACACUGGGACUGAGACACGGCCCAGACUCCUACGGGAGGCAGCAGUGGGGAAUAUUGGACAAUGGGCGGAAGCCUGAUCCAGCCAUGCCGCGUGUGUGAAAAAGGCCUUUUGGUUGUAAAGCACUUUAAGCGAGGAGGAGGCUCUUAAGGUUAAUACCCUUGAUGAGUGGACGUUACUCGCAGAAUAAGCACCGGCUAACUCUGUGCCAGCCGCCGCCGUAAAAC
rnacentral:rRNA from 1 species